rnacentral:rRNA from 1 species
AUGGAAGAAGUAACAGAGAGGGAAGAAGAGGCUGAUACACUGCACCAUGAUUCCAAUUCUAAUAAAGUUGUAUUGCCUAGUUUGGUACCUCUUGUUGGCAUGGAAUUUAGAAAUUCAGAUGAGGCUUGGGCAUUUUGGCUUACCUACAGUGGACAGAAAGGAUCUGAGGUCAGAAAAAGGUAUACAAACAAGAGGCCAACCGAUGGCAAAGUUACAUCAUGUAGAUUUGUUUGUGCAUGUAGUGGUGCUGGACAAGUUGCAGGUGUUAUAGUUUACAAGGACAAUGGAAAAGAGUCUCAAGAUUACAAGAACAAUCUCAGCUUCACUCAACUGUUGAUGGUAAUCUUGCCCAUAUAG